GCGGCCGCCGAGGAGGUUCGAAAACAUGGCCAAAAGAAAUGCCGAGAAGGAACUGACAGAUAGGAAUUGGGAUCAAGAAGAUGAAGCUGAAGAGGGUAAAAGAAGGGCUAUAAACUAAAGCCGAAGAUAUUCAGCAGCUUUCUGACGUGGACAUCAGAAGUGUGGACAUGAGUGUGCUUUGAGCGCACUGUGGAAGAGCAGUGGUUGUCCAGCAAGGUCCUAGGUGCCUCCGUGGCCUUUCGUACAGUGGGCAAGUUGGGCAGGACUCAUCUUAAAAAUCAUGUGUGGGAACAUUCUCCAUGGCCAGUGAGGAAGUCUUGAAGAAUAGAGCCAUAAAGAAAGCAAAGCGCAGAAAUGUUGGAUUUGAAGUGAGUGCCCCCUUACAGCUCUUGCUAUUAAAUACUCAUUUGAUUUCUGGGUUGCACAGCAAU
rnacentral:lncRNA from 1 species